ACACUAAACUCUAUCUUCCAUCUCAAAACGCAUCAACGCGACAUUUCUACUCUUCACUGUUCGAAAACCUUCUCUGCCGUCGCCGCCACACCGAGCCUUGCCGCGACCACCACCUACAACCUCCCUGCUUCAACCUUCUUUGGUUUUUCUAUUCUCAUUUCCACGCAAUUUGUAGAUGUCAAAUCUAGGGUUUGCGAUUCGAAGCAGAAGAAUCGCUAUCUCGCAGAUCUACACGAAGUUGUCACCAUUAGUAAGGGAAUGACUUCAAGAUGGAAUUCUUAGCUCAUGACAAAUCAACUAGUACUAGAGAUGUUUGAAAGAAUUUUGAGUGUGGAGAUUCGAUUAAUGCAUGAAAUGAUUUGAAUGUGUUUGUACAGAUUUAGACUUUUAGUAAUAAAAUACAGCAGGAUGUUCUUUUUAUUACAUCACAGCAGGUUAUUUUAAUACAUGAAACAAUGAGUGUCAUUUUGUUUAAAAGAGUAGUUAAUCUUGAUGGAAAACAGGUUACAAAAAGUUAAGUAAAUUUUGUUACUCGCAAAGUUACAAUGUGUUAGUCAUGUUUGGUAAAUUUGAGAAGUUUUUCAUUCAUGUUGAUUUUCAUGAUUUUUCCUCAGGAAAGUUGCCACUAUAAUGCUCAAUCUACGAAUUAUCCUUUCUUAUAUGCAUUGUUGAUUUUUAUUAAUGGUUCCGUUUUUAUUUGUGACUCUUUCAUAACUUGUAGGCAUUUGUUGUUAUGUUUUUAUGGAAUAUUUGGCAAUUGGCAUUGGCUUCAUUCUCACAAGGAGAUAAAAGAAAUUAAGAUUUGAAGGUAAUAACUAUCUUUCUUGAUUGUUUUCGAGUCUUCUAAUAUUGGAUGUUCUUACAGGCACAUUGUUCAUUCUCUAAAGUCAUUAUACUUUUUUGUCUUCAUCACCAUGAUACUGAAGAGGGUUGUUGAUCAUUUAGCAUGCCGUUGUGUGGUCAAUUUGGUAGGAGUGGAGUGGUUUUAUUUUUAAUAAUAAAGUGGUGCAUUGAAGAGGUUGUGGAUAAUGUAAAGGCCAUGUCGUGGUGGUAUCUAGGAAGAACCGCUGAAAAUCCUUGUAUGCUAUAUGAGCGGAUUUGGGAGUUGAUAGGUUUCUUUGAUAUGUAAAUUUGGUUGACAAUAUCGUGAGUGCCACAAGAGAAGCUCUGAUAGAUGGAGGGUGCCUGAAAACUCAACCUGGCUGCUUGACCCACAUCAUAUAAAUAUAAGAAGGCAUAUGCACAGAUUUAUAAGGCCAGAAAAUAUUCCCGUUGAACAUGGAGGAUUGAUUCAACCCAAAGACUUUAAGAAUGGUCCCCCUCAACCAUGUUUUAAGUUAUAAUUGUUGAAGCCUGAAGGAGGAGAAAAAGCUAACAUACAAAUAGAAGGAAUUGAGGUUUCAAGUAUAACUUUAGUGUUUUAAGUAUAAUUUUGUAACUUUGUCAUUCUAAUUUAUGCUUCUAGGUAUAACUAUAUAUAAUUUUGUAAAUUUAUACUUUUCAGUGUAUAGCGUAUUAACUCUAAUAUUGUGGUAUGAUUUAGUGUGUGUAAUUAUAAUAUUGUAAUUGUAUGUUAUUAAUAGAUGAUUUUCGAUCAAA